rnacentral:tRNA from 1 species
GCCUGGCUGGCUCAGUCGGUAGAGCAUGCGACUCUUAAUCUCAGGGUCAUGAGUUCAAGCCCCACACUGGGCC